GCCUGGGUGGCUUAGUUGGUUAAGCAUCUGACUUCAGCUCAGGUCAUGAUCUUUGUGAGUUGGAGCCCCACGUCAGGCU
rnacentral:tRNA from 1 species